AUUGAACGCUGGCGGCAGGCUUAACACAUGCAGGUCGAGCGGAGAUGAGGUGCUUGCACCUUAUCUUAGCGGCGGACGGGUGAGUAAUGCUUAGGAAUCUGCCUAUUAGUGGGGGACAACAUUCCGAAAGGAAUGCUAAUACCGCAUACGUCCUACGGGAGAAAGCAGGGGAUCUUCGGACCUUGCGCUAAUAGAUGAGCCUAAGUCGGAUUAGCUAGUUGGUGGGGUAAAGGCCUACCAAGGCGACGAUCUGUAGCGGGUCUGAGAGGAUGAUCCGCCACACUGGGACUGAGACACGGACCAGACGCCUACGGGAGGCAGCAGUGGGGAAUAUUGGACAAUGGGGGGAACCCUGAUCCAGCCAUGCCGCGUGUGAAGAAGGCCUUAUGGUUGUAAAGCACUUUAAGCGAGGAGGAGGCUACUGAGACUAAUACUCUUGGAUAGUGGACGUUACUCGCAGAAUAAGCACCGGCUAACUCUGUGCCAGCCGCCGCCGUAACAC
rnacentral:rRNA from 1 species